CUUUGCGGCACAUUAAGAGUCUUGACAUUAGGCCAUCAUUCAUUUCCUCUUUCAUUCCGCCAACAUUGAUUCCGUGUCAGGCAUGUGGGAGACGGCGCAGACACAAAGGCAAACAAUCCCAAACACAGGCUUUGCCCUCCUUGUACGUUGAGACAAAGGAAGCAGAAAUGAGCCUGGGAUCACAGUCUGCGCUGAGCAGCAUGGAGCAAACAGGGCGUCCCCUUCUCAGUGACAGAGGGACUUGGGCUGACCAACCGUCUUGGCUUCCCUGGGACUGUCCCAGCUCAGCACUGAAAAUCUCAUGCCGAUGAAAACCCCCGCAGGCCUGGGCAGAUGGGAACCUUGGUCACUCUUGCAGAAACUUGAGUCAGACAACAGAGCCGCUGAGUACACCCCAACACAGAGGAGCCAGCGCUCACCGAGAGAUUUGCCAAGUGGAGUCCUUUUGAGACAUCCAAAUUUCACUGUCUUCAACUUAUUAAUGUGAAACAAAGAAUAACGUAUAUGUGUGUGUAAACACGAAUAGUAACAGCUUAUAUUUGUAAACAAUGUGCCGUGCGCCCAGCACUACAUUAAGCAGUCUCCAUGCAGCACCUCCAUUAAUCCUGGGGAGCACUGUACCCACUUCAAGAGGCCUUUAGAAGAGCAAGUAACAAAAACUGGUGGAAAAAAAGCACACAUUCAACAGGAAGCAACAUCUAGAGACCUUUCUGCCUUCCAGGAUACAAAAAGAAAACAGUUCAUAAACAACUUACAUCUAAACCAGUAAUGUUGUCUCCCUGGCUCAUAGGAGCUGAAGAAGAAUUCCAGUUACUGUAGUAAGAAUAUAAGGAUGUGGACUGGUUUGAGGAUGCUUGAGGCAUGACUAUAGCAAGUACUGCGCAUACAUAUGUGGACAUCGAAUUCCAUGAUCUACACACAGAUGACACCAAAAUCGGAACAGCAAUGUCCACCCUUCUCCCGAGCCCUAGGUCGGUGCCUCUGUCCACCUGUGUCUCCUGAAACUUCAACACAGACUUCAAAUGGAGUGGCAGAAAACCAGAUUCCUUAGGGAAAGGAAGGUCUCCCAGACGGCAGGAGCGGCAGGCCUUAGGGGCAGCCGCAGGGGCUCGGGAGUCUGAACAUACCCGGUUUGAAUUCAGACUCUGGCACGCCCCAUGCGAUCAUAACAUAGUGCUGCACGUCUCAAGCCACCUAUAAAAACGGGGACAAUAACAAUAUCUGCCUCGGGGUUAAUGGUGAGGACUGACUGUGUGUGUCUCGCUCAGGACCAGGAGCAACAAAUGUUGGCUUCUUCCCCGGCAAAGACCCGCGCUUUCUCCUGGGCUCCGGGUUCCCGGGGUGGGGGUGGGCGCAGUCCCGAGGGCCCCAGGCAGUGGCGCAGUGGUUAGACCCCAGCCUCUGGAGUCGGCCUCGGUUCAGAUUCUGGUUCUACCCUUCUCCUCUGUGGCGAACCAACCCUCCGAGCUCUAGUUUACUCGUGUGAAAUGGACUAGCCAAAAUUGGGAUUUUUUUUUUUUUUUAGGAUUAGAUGUGUCGGUCCAUAGACGUUGCUGGCCACAUAGUUAAGUGGUGCGUUCACUCACUGGGCAUUGAUGGAGCGCCUACUACGUGCCAGGCCUGUUUUACGCGCCGGGGGCCCAGAGGCGCCCAGGUCAGACAAAGUGUAAACGAUUCCGACCAGAGCCCUUCAAUCUGCAUUCCGCUUCGCAGGAAACUCUCCUCCUUUUAUGAUUUUCAGCCGGACUGCCUUCCCUGUUGUUAGUUUGUAACUUUCGCUCCGGCCCCCGCAGCCUCGCGCCUGCCUUCCCUCCACUGUCCUCAGCCAAGGUGUAGUAAAGCGUCUCCGAACGCGGCGCGACCCUCGCCCACGCCCGCUCGCGGGGGGACCGCACCGCCCCAGGGGUCCUCGCUAGGGGUUCCCGGAGAAGGGGUGGGAGAUGGGGGUGCGGGGGGGCACAGGAGCGCGGGCCAGCACCCAGACCUGCUCGGUACCGGGGACCCAGACCCGAGGAUGCCGGGCGGCCAAGGCCCCGCUACCCUGGCCGGCUCCGGGCGGAGGAAGAAGAGGAGGCGCCCAGACUGGAUACCCGCCUGGACCCGGAGCCGCGGCACCACCCCCAGCCCGCCC
rnacentral:lncRNA from 10 species